rnacentral:rRNA from 1 species
AUCCCGACUUACCAACCCGAUGCAAACUACGAAUACCGGAGAAUGUUAUCACGGGAGACACACGGCGGGUGCUAACGUCCGUCGUGAAGAGGGAAACAACCCAGACCGCCAGCUAAGGUCCCAAAGUCAUGGUUAAGUGGGAAACGAUGUGGGAAGGCCCAGACAGCCAGGAUGUUGGCUUAGAAGCAGCCAUCAUUUAAAGAAAGCGUAAUAGCUCACUGGUCGAGUCGGCCUGCGCGGAAGAUGUAACGGGGCUAAACCAUGCACCGAAGCUGCGGCAGCGACGCUGAUGCGUUGUUGGGUAGGGGAGCGUUCUGUAAGCCUGCGAAGGUGUGCUGUGAGGCAUGCUGGAGGUAUCAGAAGUGCGAAUGCUGACAUAAGUAACGAUAAAGCGGGUGAAAAGCCCGCUCGCCGGAAGACCAAGGGUUCCUGUCCAACGUUAAUCGGGGCAGGGUGAGUCGACCCCUAAGGCGAGGCCGAAAGGCGUAGUCGAUGGGAAACAGGUUAAUAUUCCUGUACUUGGUGUUACUGCGAAGGGGGGACGGAGAAGGCUAUGUUGGCCGGGCGACGGUUGUCCCGGUUUAAGCGUGUAGGCUGGUUUUCCAGGCAAAUCCGGAAAAUCAAGGCUGAGGCGUGAUGACGAGGCACUACGGUGCUGAAGCAACAAAUGCCCUGCUUCCAGGAAAAGCCUCUAAGCAUCAGGUAACAUCAAAUCGUACCCCAAACCGACACAGGUGGUCAGGUAGAGAAUACCAAGGCGCUUGAGAGAACUCGGGUGAAGGAACUAGGCAAAAUGGUGCCGUAACUUCGGGAGAAGGCACGCUGAUAUGUAGGUGAAGUCCCUCGCGGAUGGAGCUGAAAUCAGUCGAAGAUACCAGCUGGCUGCAACUGUUUAUUAAAAACACAGCACUGUGCAAACACGAAAGUGGACGUAUACGGUGUGACGCCUGCCCGGUGC